UGAGUUUUAACUCAGUGGGAGGGUGCUUGCCUAGCAUGUGUGAGGCCCUGAGUUCAAUUCUCAGUACCUCAU
rnacentral:tRNA from 1 species